ACCGGCAGCUCAAGUGGUGGCCAUUAUUAUCGUCCCCCCCUCUUUCUUCUCCUUUUUUCUCCUUCCCUUUUUCCCUCCAGAAACUCCACUGAGGGACUUGCUGGAGAUACUAUCAGACUUGAGGUCGGGAGAGGUUAGGGGUACUCCCAGGGUAGGGGUGAAAUCCUAUAAUCCUGGGAGGACCACCUGUGGCGAAGGCGCCUAACUGGAACGAACCUGACGGUGAGUAACGAAAGCCAGGGGCGCGAACCG
rnacentral:rRNA from 1 species